GUCCAGCAGCGUAUAAAUCUCAGCUGCCUGGGCCUUGCUGCAUCUUCUGCACACGAUGUCCUCAAUUAGCAACAUGAAGCUGGGCAGCCUCUUCCUCCUGGCCAUUCUCCUCACCCUCAACACAAGACUCCAGGCAAUUGCCAUCUGUAGCAUCGAGUGCAGUGAACACAGGGAUUGUGGGAGAGGAAAACAGUGCAUCCAGGAUGGCUGUUGGUGAAUCUGCUCCCCGCUGAUGAGUGUAGCCAUCUGUAGCAUCAAGUGCAGUGAAGACAGGGAUUGUGGGAGAGGAAAACAGUGCAUCCAGGAUGGCUGUCGGAGAAUCUGCUCCCCGCUGAUGAGUGUAGCCAUCUGUAGCAUCGAGUGCCGUGAAGACAGGGAUUGUGGGAGAGGAAAAGUGUGCAUCCAGGAUGGCUGUCGGCGAAUCUGCUCCCCGCUGAUGAGUGUAGGCAUCUGUGAGUCCCAGUGCUUCAGAGAUCGGGACUGUGGAGCUGGAAGAGGGUGAGUCAGCAAAGGCUGUAAUCGGGUCUGCUCCCCUGCACCAGAAGCAUCAAUAGGAAUCUGUGUGCAACGCUGCCGAGGAAACUGGGACUGUGGGGCUGGAGAACGAUGUAUCAGGAAGGGAUGCAGUCGCGUCUGCUCUCCAGUCCGCACAGCAGGGGUAGGUAUCUGCCUGGACCAAUGCCAAGGACACCGGGACUGCCCAGCAGGAAGCCGAUGUGAGCAAUGGAUGUGGCCGUGUCUGCUCACCCACCCAGGACCGGCGAGCGGAACAGAGACCUGGAACGUGUCCAAGGGUGCCAGAAGGAACGUUUAGAACUUGUGCUGAAACGUGCGCAGGAGAUGGAUCCUGUCCCCCGGGCCAAAAAUGCUGCAGCAAUGGCUGUGGAAAAUCUUGCCAAGUCCCUGAUCUGGGCCUCACUAUCCAUUUGGAUGAUAAAUGAACCUUGGCCUCCUUCAGUAAUUGUUUCCAAAUGUCAUCUUUAUUCUGAGAUCUGUGCUUUCUUACUGUCUUUUCUGGAACCCCAGGAUCACAGGAUGUGGAUCCAAAAUAACUCAGUUUUUAAGUGUUGAAUUUGGGCAAUUAUUUGAUGAUUCAUAGCAUGACUGCUUCUAAAAUUAUCUUUUUUCUGAAUAAAAUGAUUUCUGUGGCAUU
ensembl:lncRNA